rnacentral:rRNA from 1 species
UACGUAGGUGACAAGCGUUGUCCGGAUUUACUGGGCGUAAGGAGCGCGCAGGCGGUCGUUCAAGUCGAGUGUGAAAGCCCCCGGCUCAACUGGGGAGGGUCACUCGAUACUGAUCGACUCGAAGGCAGGAGAGGGUAGUGGAAUUCCCGGUGUAGUGGUGAAAUGCGUAGAUAUCGGGAAGAACAUCAGUGGCGAAGGCGGCCUGCUGGGCUGUUGCUGACGCUGAGGCGCGACAGCGUGGGGAGCAAACAGG